GCCGCUUAGGCCGCCCAUUGUGACUCGGUUGUGGGCGUGCAGGCAGCAUAUAGCACGCCCACAACCGAGUGCGUCAAUAAUUCAGCGUAGCAAGUUUGUAUGAAGGUCUGGUUAUUAAAUGGGUACGUAGUUCAAUAGUAAUAUCCUCUAAAACGCACUGGUGACAAACAAACUUUGCUGCCCUGUAUCCAAUUAUCUACAUGGCUGGGAGAACCUAUUGAAAUAAAGAGAGCUGUGAAAGCCUGUCUACAUAUGGGGGUGCCACAGGGUUCAAUUCUUGAGCCGACUCUUUUCUCUGUAUACAUCAAUGAUGUCGCUCUUGCUGCUGCACUGCACAGCUGAUUCAGUUGAUCAACUCAUCAAGCUUCGAGUGAUACCUUGUAACUGGAGAUUCCUUCAAAACGAUUGCCUACAGUUAACAUAUAGGGCACUGCAAGGUUGGGUGACCAGGGCCAUCUGGGACUGCCUCCUGGGGGAAUUCAGGUGUGUGAAGGCUACCUGUGUGCUGCAUAACUUAAUGAGGAUGGACACGAGGACCAGGAGGGGAUCUGCAGCUUGCCGCCGUGUGCCAGAGUAGAAGUCUGCUGCUCUGCGGGAUGUUAAGGAUUGGGUAGCAAGAGACGCAGCAAGAGAGGCAAUCCAUGUGCGGGAGAUCUUCUACUUCUUCGAAGAGGGUGCUGUUCCCUGGCAACACCAUAGACUACACUAUGCACAACCAAAGGCUCUUUUAAGAGCCAUUCACAUUGCAAUAAGAGUAUUCUUCCAUUUACUUAGCUAUGUCAACUGCAGUUAUUGAAUUCACAGUUUUUCUCCCUUUGAUUUCUACUUCUCAGGUGAGGGUGCUGUUUAGCUAAGGGUGUGAUGUCUGUACAAAAACAAAACAGGCUAUUUUAAAUCACCCAUAUUGAUAUUAUUAUUAUUAUUAUUUUUUGAACAAUUAGACACCCUAUAACCCACACACUCAUUUAUCAAUCUGAUUGAUGGAUGGUGUUGAGCAGGUUCAGGUGUAUAACUGGCUUCUUCCACCUUCAAAGAAUAGGCAAGAGGGCCAACCAUGGAGAAUAGUAAAACACUUCAUUAUUUCUAUAACUACGCUAUAUUGUUUGUCCUCGUGUGUCCGUUCAUGUUUUUCAGCAUAAAGUACUCUGCAGCCACUUAGUGUGGUGUGGACACCAGGUUAUAUCAGCUGUGUCGGUGAACCCCUCCUGCAUCUGAACUGGCUACAUAGAGGGCACAGCAUGAUCAGAGAUAUGUUUUGAUGUGAGAGAGGAUGCCAACCCCCAGUCCUAUCAUCGCCACCUCACCCGCUUUUAAGAUAAGUAUCUCUCGACAGCCCAAAGGUUAUGUAAUUGUGAUGAACUGAGAAUAUUUAGGUAGCACUGUGAUUCAUUAAUCAUAUGCUGCCUUCCCUGCUCCUGUUUUACCUCUUUCCCUUUGUCUUUUACACCUCUCCCGCCACCUCUUUCUUCCUCUGUUUUUAUAAUGCACAACAGAUGUGCAUUGAAGUACAGAUUGAACUUGUAUUUAUAAUAUUACAAUUAUAAUAUUUAGAAUGCAUGUAUUUAUAACACUUGGAUAAUGAGCUUUUCAAUAAACCAUUUUACAUUCUCUACUGGUUGAAAAAUAAGUCUCAUUUGAUGAAAUACUACACCUAUUCUGUGUUUAUCAGAUCAAUGCAGAUGAAGGGCAUUAAAUAUUGAGAUGAACCGGUUUUAGACUAUUUACAUGAUGCAUAGGAAGUGUAGUGUACUGUUUUUCU
rnacentral:lncRNA from 1 species